rnacentral:rRNA from 1 species
UACGAAGGGGGGCUAGCGUUGCUCGGAAUCACUGGGCGUAAAGCGCACGUAGGCGGAUUGUUAAGUCAGGGGUGAAAUCCUGGAGCUCAACUCCAGAACUGCCUUUGAUACUGGCGAUCUUGAGUCCGGGAGAGGUGAGUGGAACUGCGAGUGUAGAGGUGAAAUUCGUAGAUAUUCGCAAGAACACCAGUGGCGAAGGCGGCCCACUGGCCCCGGUACUGACGCUGAGGUGCGAAAGCGUGGGGGAGCAAACAGGAUUAGAAAACCCCG